AUGCAGAGGCCGGGGGUCAUCCUUCUUUUCUUAAAAAAAAACAUAUCAACCCAUUUCACUUGUGCAGAAUCUGCCUCGGUUCCAAGCAACCUGGAGCACAACCAGCGGAUCUUCGAGAGGGUGAACGAGAUGGCGACGAGAAAAGGAUGCACGCCGUCGCAGCUCGCUCUGGCCUGGGUUCACCACCAGGGACCAGACCUGUGCCCGAUCCCGGGGACUACCAAGAUGGACAACUUCGACACCAACCUCGCGGCGCUCGCCCUCAGGCUUGCGCCCGAGGAGAUGGCCGAGCUAGAUUCUUACGCUGCCGCGGACGCUGUGAAAGGGUUCAGGACCUACAAUGCAGCGAACACGUGGAUGAGCUCGGAUACCCCUCCGCUAGAGUCUUUCAAAGGAGAGUAA
rnacentral:rRNA from 1 species